rnacentral:lncRNA from 1 species
CUGCUGGGUUUGCUUUUGCUUGCACAACGAAGCCUCAGAUUUUUGUCGCAAUCUUCAAGGAGCUUCACAGCCAUGGGUUCUAAACCACAGCUCGGCAGACUCUGAACUCUGGACAACUUGAGUUUCACAAACUUUCUACUGAAUUAUCUGCUUUCCUUAAAAUCCAGCUC